CUACGGAAGGCAGCAGUUAGGAAUAUUGGACAAUGGGCGAAAGCCUGAUCCAGCCAUGCCGCGUGUGUGAUGAAGGCCCUAGGGUUGUAAAGCACUUUCGUUGGGGAUGAUAAUGACAGUACCCAAAGAAGAAGCCACGGCUAAAUUCGUGCCAGCAGCCGCGGUAAUACGAAUGUGGCAAGCGUUGUUCGGAAUCACUGGGCGUAAAGAAUGCGUAGGCGGCUUAACAAGUCGGGAGUGAAAUCCCAGGGCUUAACCCUGGAACUGCUCUCGAAACUGUUUUGCUAGAGUCCCGGAGGGGUUAGCGGAAUUCCGAGUGUAGAGGUGAAAUUCGCAGAUAUUCGGAGGAACACCAGUGGCGAAGGCGGCUAACUGGACGGGAACUGACGCUGAGGCAUGAAAGUGUGGGGAUCAAACAGGAUUAGAUACCCUGGUAGC
rnacentral:rRNA from 1 species